rnacentral:lncRNA from 1 species
AAAGAUACUCAAGGUGGUGAAGGAAAGAAAGAAAAGUUCUUUUCAUCAGAAGGACUUGCUGCAAAUGAUUUUUGAAAAUGUUAAGGAUAGUAACCUAAGUAAAAAUGCCAUUGAAAAUUUUGUUGUUGAUAACUGCAAGAAUAUGUACUUGGCCGGUUUUGAGUCAACUGCAGUUGCAGCUACAUGGUGCCUGAUGCUGUUGGCCUCAAACCAAGAUUGGCAAGAUCGUGUUCGCACUGAGGUGCUGGAAAUUUGCAAUGGAAGAAUCCCAGAUUUAGGUAUGCUUGGUAAGAUGAAGCAGGUAAGAUCCUUUGGCAACAUACACUACAAAAACAAGUUAUAUACUAGUGGUUUCAAAUUGAGUUAGCCUCCCCAAUGAUAUAUCCUUUAGCAUAACAAAGUUGUUGUUCUAUACUAACAGUAUGCCAUGUAUUAUAUCCUCUCAACAACUGGUUUGUUGAACUCAGAAUUUUCCGUAACAGCAAAAGAACAACAUAAAUUAAAGAGAGAGAGGACUAGAAAAGAACAAGCAAAGAAACAUAUUAUUGCAUCAUGCCAAAGUGAGGCAAAAAAGGUAUAUACACAAUAAAAAGAAAAACAAACAGACAAAACCAUCUCUUAACAAAUUAGACGGUCUAGUGUAAAUAAAUGAUACAUCAAACUAUUAUUCUAAACUCAUAAUGCCUGUACUAACAAAUUGAUUUCUAUUAGAUAAAGUAAUAACUGCUAUGCUAUAAUGGAAGCAAUUCGAAUGCCUAAUUAUUUUUCAUAGUGAUAUUACAAUGUAUAUUAUUUUCAUAUUAAGAUAUUGAGAAUUUGAAAAUACCAUCAACCAUAACUUGCAUUUAUUGUGGCAGCUAGCAAUGGUUAUUCAUGAAGCACUGCGCCUUUAUCCUCCUGUGACUGUGGUGUCAAGAGAAUUCUUGAAGGACAUGAAAUUUGGGAACCUUGAUGUUCCCAAAGGGUUUAACCUUUGGAUAAUGAUAGUAAGUUUGCAUUCAAAUCCAGAUAUAUGGGGAGAUGAUGCCUACAAAUUCAAGCCAGAAAGAUUUGCCAAUGGAACCAUAGGUUCUUGUAAGUUGCCACACGUCUACAU